CGGUAACAGAAGAGCUUGCUCUUGCUGACGAGUGGCGGACGGGUGAGUAACGUAUGGGGAUCUGCCGAAUAGAGGGGGACAACAGUUGGAAACGACUGCUAAUACCGCAUAAUGUCGCGAGACCAAAGCAUGGGACCUUAGGGCCAUGCGCCAUUUGAUGAACCCAUAUGGGAUUAGCUAGUAGGUGAGGUAAUGGCUCACCUAGGCGACGAUCUCUAGCUGGUCUGAGAGGAUGACCAGCCACACUGGGACUGAGACACGGCCCAGACUCCUACGGGAGGCAGCAGUGGGGAAUAUUGCACAAUGGGGGAAACCCUGAUGCAGCCAUGCCGCGUGUAUGAAGAAGGCCUUCGGGUUGUAAAGUACUUUCGGUAGCGAGGAAGGGGUUAUAUCUAAUAGGUGUAACCAUUGACGUUAACUACAGAAGAAGCACCGGCUAACUCCGUGCCAGCAGCCGCGGUAAUACGGAGGGUGCGAGCGUUAAUCGGAAUGACUGGGCGUAAAGGGCAUGUAGGCGGAUAGUUAAGUUAGGUGUGAAAGCCCCGGGCUCAACCUGGGAAUUGCAUUUAAAACUGGUUAUCUGGAGUAUUGUAGAGGAAGGUAGAAUUCCAUGUGUAGCGGUGAAAUGCGUAGAGAUGUGGAGGAAUACCGGGUGGCGAAGGCGGCCUUCUGGACAAAUACUGACGCUGAGAUGCGAAAGCGUGGGGAGCAAACAGGAUUAGAUACCCUGGUAGUCCACGCUGUAAACGAUGUCAACUUGGAGUUUGGGUCCUAGAGACUUGGGCUCCGAAGCUAACGCGAUAAGUUGACCGCCUGGGGGAGUACGGCCGCAAGGUUAAAACUCAAUGAAUUUGACGGGGGCCCGCACAGCGGUGGGAGCAUGGUGGUUUUAAUUCGAUGCAACGC
rnacentral:rRNA from 1 species